rnacentral:siRNA from 1 species
UAUCAAAGAUCUCUACGGUUUGAU